AUUGAACGCUGGCGGCAUGCUUUACACAUGCAAGUCGAACGGCAGCGCGGGCUUCGGCCUGGCGGCGAGUGGCGAACGGGUGAGUAAUGCAUCGGAACGUGCCCAGUAGUGGGGGAUAGGCCGGCGAAAGCCGGAUUAAUACCGCAUACGACCUGAGGGUGAAAGCGGGGGACCGAAAGGCCUCGCGCUAUUGGAGCGGCCGAUGUCGGAUUAGCUAGUUGGUGGGGUAAAGGCUUACCAAGGCGACGAUCCGUAGCUGGUCUGAGAGGACGACCAGCCACACUGGAACUGAGACACGGCCCAGACUCCUACGGGAGGCAGCAGUGGGGAAUUUUGGACAAAGGGGGCAACCCUGAUCCAGCCAUGCCGCGUGCGGGAAGAAGGCCUUCGGGUUGUAAACCGCUUUUGUUCGGGAAGAAAUCCUCUGGGCUAAUACCCCGGGGGGAUGACGGUACCGGAAGAAUAAGCACCGGCUAACUACGUG
rnacentral:rRNA from 1 species